CUCCCUCGUUGUUGAUCUCAGGUUCGAUAAUGCCAAUAUCGCACCACCUCGCCUGAAACCAACUUCGAUGAAGCGACGGGCGGUGUGUG
rnacentral:rRNA from 1 species